AAAUUUUAUUUCGUUUAUAGUGUAAAAGAAAAUCACGGAAUUUUACCAAAGUUAAAGAGCAACAAAGUCAACGUGUUUCAAAAAAGCAAUAACUGAAUAUACAAAAUGGCGCGAAAUAUCAGUAAACUACGGUGUAUGAAGUGGCAAUGGUGUAAAAAAACAAUGAUGACUUUAACAAGAUAAUGAUGACAACAAAAAGUUGCUAUGAAAAAAAUUGACUGACGCAGAGGGGUUGUUCCAAGGUACCAAUUUGAAAAAGUAAAAAAAUAAUGGCACUGAGACAGACACGUAAAAAUAGCUUCUCUAAUCAAAACAAGACGUAUGAUAUACGCAAACAACCUCGCGAAUAAAGUUUACAAAAAGCUGUCUAUCAAAUUGGGAUUUUUGUUACGAAGUUAGACACGACAUAUUUUACUAUUCAGAUACACAAUAAUAUUUGUUACACACUUAUUUUUCAAAAUUGAUUUGUGAGACCUUCCUGAACGGAAAAUUCCUCGAACUUUUAAUUUUCGAUGGGUCCGUCUUGGGUGAACCGACUGACAGAAAGAAGAAAGACCACAAAUCCACAAACCCCAAAAUUUGCGAAAUUCAUUAAUUCAGUUAAUUCUGCCUACAUUCACUUUUAAAAUGUUUGGUGGAAACACCUUUAUUUACUAGUUAGUUAAACAAGUGUUUUGAACACUUGUCUUAUCUUUUUAAAAAAAAAAAAAAAAAAAGUAAAAAUAGUUACCAAGAUGAGAUUCGCACACACGACGACUCCCGUGUCGGUGCUCAGAGAGGCAAAAAUUUCCAUUCUUGUAGGACACAGUUGCGUUUUAAUACAAGCUCACGAGCUUGUAACAAUAUGAAAAGUAUUGUCUUGAAGGAGUUGACCACGAUGGAUUUAAAAAAUUUCGUAUUAAUGAGUUCAUUUGUAAGUUGGUUUUAUGUAAAUAGGGGCAUUUAAAAAGUAUGUCAGCUCAAAUAUUCACCAUAUCUGACCACCUCUCCCCCCUUGUUUGCUCAAGUUCACUUUUGGCAUUGCACCCGCACAACCAUAAACAAUAAAUGUCAUAUCAUGUCAAGGAAAAUAAAAGGAACAUUUAUUUUUUAAAAAGCGAAUGUACACAAAACAAAUAUAUCCUUCUUCGUUUUUGUUUGUUAUACUACAUGACACCCUCCCUCCUCUGUAGGCAAACAUACUUUUUCAAUGACCCGCUCUCAGAUUCAGUUCUUGCGACAAUUGUAUGUGAAAAAAGUUGCUGUGGGUGCUAAAAUUAUAGUAUAUAGUUUUUCAGUAUUUUUUUUGUUUCGGGAGAGCGUAGCGUAUCCCGUUUUAAUUACAGCCGCGACUCCUCCUCCUCCUACUACUACUCCGCGGAUUUCGACAGGCGGUCGGGCGCACUUAUGUGGGCGUAAGGCGUUUUUUGGAUAAGUUGCCGGAAUCCGAAAAUUGAACGCUUCUGAAGGUCCCUUUGAAACCAUUAGUAGCUGAAGUUUGUGUGGUCUUGAAAUGUCACGAAAUCUUGGAAAUCAUUGCUGAUUUUUUAAUUAUUCUAUGCAACGUAUUUUCUCUCAAUCCAUUUAAAGAUUGUGAGAAUCUUAUUCUGUUUAUAUUUUGCUCGGAUAUUGACAUAUCUGGGAACAGUAUUUGUCUUGCGAGUGCUUUAAAGCUGAGAUAAGGACUAUCUGGGGACAGUACUUUUUCUCAGG